UACAGAGGUCUCAAGCGUUGUUCGGAUUCAUUGGGCGUAAAGGGUGCGUAGGCGGCGCGGUAAGUCGGGUGUGAAAUCUCGGGGCUUAACUCCGAAACUGCAUUCGAUACUGCCGUGCUUGAGGACUGGAGAGGAGACUGGAAUUUACGGUGUAGCGGUGAAAUGCGUAGAUAUCGUAAGGAAGACCAGUGGCGAAGGCGGGUCUCUGGACAGUUCCUGACGUGAGGCACGAAGGUCAGGGGAGCAAACGGG
rnacentral:rRNA from 1 species